CACUGGUACUUUUCACGGCAGCAACACAAGCGAGGAAAAUCACAGCUAAAGCAAAAUUGCGAAAUUCGAAAGGAGGGGAGCCGAUUUGGUCUCCGUGUGUAUGGUAUGACGCAUACGAACACAUUGAUGUAAAGGCACUUUGGGAAACUAUUGCUUCUGAUGGUUGGAGGCCAACAUCAGCUCAUCUAAUACUUAUUGAAUGAGGGGUAGUCAUUGGUGGAAUGGGGUAUGGUGGAGCAUAAUGACAGCUGCUUGCUGCUGCAUCACCAACACAUUAUGACUGCAACAGUACAAACAGAAAACCAUCCAAGGACUUGGCCGGGAAGCUUAGUUUCGAUAUGCUUUGAUUGCUGUUAGAGAAUGAGUUAUUCAGUUGGGAGUUAUUCAUAAGCUCUGUUAUGGAGUCUCACGAUUCUGAAAUCCCUGAAUCCAGUAUGCAACAAUGGUUCCUGCUAAGAAACGACAAAUGCUAGAUGAUCUUAACGAAAAGCGUCAACAGAAAAUUAAUGUAGCCAAGUCUACACUAACUCACGACGUCAAUGCUGGUUCAAACUCAGUCAGAGUGUUCUGAAGAUGAGCUCAUGAGCUGCUUUCUGUUGUGAAUUGUGAUUAUGAAGGUAGGUAUCAUUUUGCUAAUUAUAUUAUUUGUUUUUGGCUUUAGCAUUUCAAUCAUGUCAGAGCAGCAGGCUGUUUAAAUAAUUGCCCGUAUUUAAUAAUGCAACUCUAUUUCUCAUUAGAAUGGUAGAAAAGUUAUAUGUGGAACUCUGCUAUUGUACUCAUGGGCUUGUUUAAGGAUUGCAGUGAUCGAUUUUUCGAUUUGUCACCAAACUCGGGUUCAAUCAAUAGUGUUUGAUCAUGACAUUAGAAUGCAUAAUCUUACUCUACAGACCAACAUGUAGUAAAUCAUCUCAAAUGCCAUUGUCAAACCUCUCUGUACAAACUAUAAAGUAGUUAAUCACAAAUUACUGAUAGAAGUGGAUGCCUUGUUGCAUUCGUGUUUGGAAAAUGUGCUGAACAACUAUUAUUCUUAACCAGUAAACAAGUUAUGUAAUUAGCACAACAGGUACUACUCCACUUCCAGCCACAAGCACUCAUGUUUUACAUUAAAUUAACCUAUGACUAACUACAUAUGAAUCUUGCAGGGUCAACAACUAAGAAUUCAACAUAUCAAUAACUACUUACAAGAUGAAGACUACUAAUACAAUUGAGAUCUCAAUCCUAUACACAAGGCAAAACACAUGGUAUCAUAUACCAUAACAUCAUUGCACGAAUCAUUCUCAUUGACUACCACAAGUAAACAAGAUGGAGAAGAUGAAGACAAUUUUGAGCCUCAACAAAAGCGCACAAAGAAAAAUUAAUUUAAUUUUCUUGUACUCUUUAUCCAAUUGUUUUAUUCUAGUGGUUGAUCAUGAUAGACAGUUAGCUUUAGUUAGUCAUUUAUUUGU